rnacentral:misc_RNA from 1 species
AGUAAAAGUCGUAACAAGGUUUCCGUAGGUGAACCUGCGGAAGGAUCAUUAAAAAAUUGGACUCCAUUGGUGAGUUCAUUAAUAAUCCCUACCCUUUGUGAAUUUGUUUGUUUGAAUAAUUUUUUUCCAAAAAAAAUUAUUGAAUGUCUUUCCCUGUUUUGGUGGAGCUUGUAAAGUGAAACCAGGCAGGGGAAUGGCAAACAAUAAUUAUUUUUGAAAAAAGACCUUUUUUUAAAAUUAAACUUUUUGUAUCAUUUGUCUAAAAUUAUUUUUAUAAUAUAAAACAACUUUUGACAAUGGAUCUCUUGGUUCUCGCAACGAUGAAGAACGCAGCAAAAUGCGAUAAGUAGUGUGAAUUGCAGAAUACGUGAAUCAUCGAAUCUUCGAACGCAUAUUGCACUUUUUUAGUUUACUAAAAAGGUAUGUCUGUUUGAGUAUCAGUAAAAUAUUCUCAUAUAAAACAUUGUUUUUUUAUGGUUAUGAGUGUUUUACAACGAUAACAAGUUGUUUCACUUUAAAUUCUUUGUUAUCAAAAAAAUCAUUAAAAGCUAAUUUUAAAGAUUUUUUAAAAUUGGAUAAAAUUUUCCCGUAAAAAGGAAUAACCUAAACAAUUUUAAAAAAUUAAAAUUGAUUUGAUUUUUUUUGGAACCCAAAGGAAAAAAAAACGAAAUUAACUUGAUCUCAAAUCAGAUAAGAGUACCCGCUGAACUUAAGCAUAUCAAUAAGCGGUGGAAAAGAACUAACUAGGAUUCCCUCAGUAACGGCGAGUGAAGCGGGAAGAGCUCAAAUUUGAAAUCUUCAAGGUUUUACCUUGACGAAUUGUAGUUUAAAGAAGUGUUUUCUGUUGGAGUUUUGGUAAAGUUCUUUGGAAAAGGACAUCAUAGAGGGUGAGAAUCCCGUAUUUGACCAUUAUCUCCAGCUUUGUGAUACACUUUCAAAGAGUCGGAUUGUUUGGGAAUGCAGUCCAAAAUGGGUGGUAAAUUUCAUCUAAAGCUAAAUACUGGCGAGAGACCGAUAGCGAACAAGUACCGUGAGGGAAAGAUGAAAAGAACUUUGAAAAGAGAGUUAAACAGUACGUGAAAUUGUCAAAAGGGAAGCGUUUGACACCAGUGUUGUUUUCUCGAAAAUCAAUUAAAAAGAGUUGAUUUUGUUGUGUAUUGACUUUAACAGCUUUGCAUUUCAUUUUCUUGCUUUUUUAAUGCACUUUUCGUUUAACAAGUCAACAUCAAUUUCCUUUGUUGUAAAAAGGUCAUUGGAAGGUGGCUUUCUUUUCGGAGAAAGUGUUUAUAGCCUUUGACCUCUGCAAUCGGAGAGAUGAGGUCUGCAGCGUAGAUCCUUCGGGGUUGAUACAUUUGUGCUAAGUUAUAGCUUUUCAUAGACAACUUGUUGACUAUGAUUAGUCAUGUGGCUUACUCGCUUAUGCUAUUUACCUACGCUUAGGAUGUUGAA